GAUGAACGCUGGCGGCGUGCCUAAUACAUGCAAGUCGAGCGAACAGACGAGGAGCUUGCUCCUCUGACGUUAGCGGCGGACGGGUGAGUAACACGUGGAUAACCUACCUAUAAGACUGGGAUAACUUCGGGAAACCGGAGCUAAUACCGGAUAAUAUAUUGAACCGCAUGGUUCAAUAGUGAAAGACGGUCUUGCUGUCACUUAUAGAUGGAUCCGCGCUGCAUUAGCUAGUUGGUAAGGUAACGGCUUACCAAGGCAACGAUGCAUAGCCGACCUGAGAGGGUGAUCGGCCACACUGGAACUGAGACACGGUCCAGACUCCUACGGGAGGCAGCAGUAGGGAAUCUUCCGCAAAGGGCGAAAGCCUGACGGAGCAACGCCGCGUGAGUGAUGAAGGUCUUCGGAUCGUAAAACUCUGUUAUUAGGGAAGAACAAAUGUGUAAGUAACUAUGCACGUCUUGACGGUACCUAAUCAGAAAGCCACGGCUAACUACGUG
rnacentral:rRNA from 1 species